UUUUAUUUUGAUGUGGUAAUUAUAUAAGUUUUAAGUAUACUCUAAUAUGGAAAGAAAACUGAAAUCCAGUUAAAAAUAUUAUACAAUUUAUGUAAAUUAAAUAUAGGUAAUUUAGUAUUUUAGGUGAAUUAGGUGCCAGCAWCCGCGGUCAAACUUAAUAAAAAAAUUUAUAGAAAUUAUUAUUUUGUUAUUUAAGRAUCUUUUAUUAAUAUGGUGAAAUAUUUAAUAUAUAUAAGCUACUAUUAUUAUAUUCGAAUUGACAAACUCACUUAUUAAAACUAGGAUUAGAGACCCUACUAUUCAGAGCUKUACAUAUAAUAUAAUAAGGAUUAAAAUUAUUAAAUCUAAACUUAAACAUCAUGGCGGCCRCAAUUAAUUCUUAGGGGAACUUACCAUAUAAUUGACAACCACCAAGAAAAAUCUACUUACUUCUAAGGCUUGUAUACCGUUGUAUUCAUAAUUUUCUUAAAGAAAAUUAGAUAAUUAUCUAUUCCUAAAUAAAUAUAAAUCAAGGUGCAGCGUAUAGGUAAGAAUUAAGGCGAGUUACAAUAAAAAUUUGUUUCAAAAAAUAUUUACUAAAAAUAUUUGAAGAUGGACUUAAAAGUAAAAUUUAAUUUUUAAUUAUAAUAUGAAC
rnacentral:rRNA from 1 species